AGAGCGAACGCUGGCGGCAGGCCUAACACAUGCAAGUCGAGCGCGUGUAGCAAUACACGAGCGGCAGACGGGAGAGUAACACGUGGGAACGCGCCCUUUGGUUCGGAAUAACUCAGGGAAACUUGAGCUAAUACCGGAUAAGCCCUUACGGGGAAAGAUUUAUCGCCAAAGGAACGGCCCGCGUCCGAUUAGCUAGUUGGUGAGGUAACGGCUCACCAAGGCUACGAUCGGUAGCUGGUCUAAGAGGAUGAUCAGCCUCACUGGGACUGAGACACGGCCCAGACUCCUACGGGAGGCAGCAGUGGGGAAUAUUGGACAAUGGGCGCAAGCCUGAUCCAGCCAUGCCGCGUGGAUGAUGAAGGCCUUAGGGUUGUAAAGUCCUUUUAACGGGGAAGAUAAUGACGGUACCCGUAGAAUAAGCCCCGGCUAACUUCGCGCCAGCAGCCGC
rnacentral:rRNA from 1 species